AUGGAUUUCACUUCAUAUCUUUCUAUCGGUAAGAAGUUCAAAAUGUCGCGUAUGUAGAAGAGCAGUGCAAGAGCAGUAGAAUGGAUAAUUGAUGUGGGAUCAUUUCACUUUCAACAAUACAACACUAACUGAUAGCUUGAAUUUAAAAAACUUUCAGUAAUUUUGUAACCAUGCACUCAUGUUUCUUAAUACAAAAAGUAAUUAAGCAUAGAACCUUAGAUAUCUGUUUUCAAACUAUGGAACCUCUCAUCAAAAGUUUGAAAGGAAUCAGACAAAUAAAUUGUUCUUCAAAUAUAAGACAUUGUAUAUGAAUUCUCAAAAAAUAUAAAACUUAAGGACAUCGAUUACAGGGUGCAAUGUAAACUUUACUGCUACCUGAAUAUAAAUAGCAUAUCAAUUAUACUAAUUGUAGAGUAAAAAAAUAUAGAUAUUGACUUGAUAAGGAUUCUUCUUAAUUGACCAUAUAUCUCUUUUUAGUAGAAAAAAAAUUAGAUAAUUUUGAUUAUUUCCUGCUCAUCUAAAUCUCAUCAUUUUUCCUGCUUUGUCCCAAAAACUUUCGAGAACAUUCAAUGCCUCAUUCGUUAAGCAUUCUGAAAGGUGAAGCGAAGAGUCAAGGGACUGCCUCAUUAGCGAGAAAGCACCAGUCACUAGAGAAUUAACGCUCAUUCAAAUAACUUUAGCAUUUGGAUCCUUUCUAAGACCCGCAAUCUAAAGAGAUUGAAGAAUAGUUAGUCCCAAGCUAUAACCAUUUCCCUGGAAGGCCAUAUGAUGUCGAAGAUCUGUGCAAAAAAUAAGGAAUUAAUAAAGGUUGGUGAUAAAAAUUCAAGAACGACCGUCUCUAUAUCAAUGAGCUUGAAAUACAUUAAAUUCAAACUUUUAAAUUCAUUGCUUGAACUACAAACUUUUUCUGGCCGAUACCUGAUAUUCGCCGAAUUUUUUUAAUACGUUAACCAAUCUGAGAUGUACACAUUAUUGAUUAUAAGUAUCAAUAAAACCUUCAAUGAUAGGUAAA